rnacentral:rRNA from 3 species
GAUGCGACCUCAGCUCA